rnacentral:rRNA from 1 species
GACGGAGGAUGCAAGCGUUAUCCGGAAUGAUUGGGCGUAAAGCGUCCGCAGGUGGCAGUUCAAGUCUGCUGUCAAAGACCGGGGCUUAACUUCGGAAAGGCAGUGGAAACUGAACAGCUAGAGUAUGGUAGGGGCAGAGGGAAUUCCUGGUGUAGCGGUGAAAUGCGUAGAGAUCAGGAAGAACAUCGGUGGCGAAGGCGCUCUGCUGGACCAUAACUGACACUCAGGGACGAAAGCUAGGGGGAGCGAAUGGG